rnacentral:misc_RNA from 1 species
GCUCCUAAUCCUUAGUUUUGGUGCUGAUCAAAUGAUUAUGCAUAGCUAGUUUUUAUGUGUUUGUACAUAUAUAAGCAAGAGAGUAUAAACCAAAGAAAUUCUCCUUUUUUUCAAUAUAAUGAAUAAAUUAAAUGGUUAUGAUCAGUGGCUAAAUUAUUACUUUAAAUAAGAGAAAUACCCAGAUCUGUAAUAACCAGAGUUUAUCUUUGUGAUUGCUCUGGGACAAAAUAGUUUUUCCCUCUUUACAGUUUUCUACUUUAGGGGGUUUUUAAAGAAGUGUCUUAUUCAAAGAGGACGAGAGAAUGGAGGGUGUAAAUUCAUUAGUUAUCUUUAUUUUUUUUUUUCUUUUUGGUGUAUUUUCUGGUUUCUUUGAGAAGAAGAUAUCUUAUCCUCUAAUCUUUCUUUCUCACCUUGACUCUGAAUUAGUUAAAUCUCACACAAGAUUUUUAGUAGAUGCAACAGGUUUUUUGAGCAGUAUACAUUGUUGUGUCACAGG